UAGAAUGAUGAAAGAGGUAGCAAAAUGUAACAGAAUUUUCAUGACUGAAACAAACAAGAUUAACCUUUACAGAACCGCUACACUGAUA
rnacentral:snoRNA from 20 species